rnacentral:rRNA from 1 species
UACAGAGGGUGCAAGCGUUGUCCGGAUUUAUUGGGCGUAAAGAGCGUGUAGGCGGCCAGGUAGGUGGGUUGUGAAAACUGGAGGCUCAACCUUCAGACGUCGACCCAAACCCCCCUGGCUAGAGUCCGGAAGAGGAGAGUGGAAUUCCUGGUGUAGCGGUGAAAUGCGCAGAUAUCAGGAAGAACACCCGUGGCGAAGGCGGCUCUCUGGGGACGGGUACUGACGCUGAGACGCGAAAAAGCGUGGGGGGAGCGAAACAGGG